UAUAACGUUACACAAGAUAAGUCUAGAGUACGGGUUGUCACAAUGAUCAACACGUGUGAUAACCACAACGAGAACAUAAUAACGAAUCCGCUUCGAAAAUUAAUCAUCUGUUCUUGGAUGAUUGAUUACUAGGUUUUGAACCUUCUGUUAUAAGGUUUUGAACCCUCUGUUAUAUGGUUUUGAACCCUUCCGGUUUGAUUCAUCCUUGGCUUUGUGCCUUUUGAGUUUUCAAAAUCUCGUCAAAGUUUGGGGUCUAAAUAAUGUGAACACGUGCGAACUGGAAGAGUGAAU
rnacentral:lncRNA from 1 species